GAGGACCACAGUUAAUGUGAAGCCGAAUUAAGAGAAUUUCAAGGUCAACCCCAGUUGCAGAGUAACGUCUUUCAAGCUCCCGUGUGCAUAUGCAUGAGGCAGGGGAUGGGGGUGAAGACAGACUUCAGCCAUUUGGAGGAUUUCCAAGUUUACAGGAUGGCUAAACAUUAAUGGAAAGAGAAGUGUAAACCUGUCUUCUUUCACUAUGGAGGCAAGUUUGGCAGAUGGAGAACCUGACCGAAUUUUGAUCUUGCCAUGUUCAGAAGUUGUUGAAGUUCAAGAGACACUUCUUGGUGAUAGCAAAGAUGUCCUUGGGCCAUCAACUGUGGUAGCAAACAGUGAGGACACUCAACACCUGACACCAGGAAAGAUGAGUCAGCGCCAAGGGAAAGAGGCUUUUCCAACACCAACCAAAGAUUUGUAUCAGCCAUCUUUUAGUCCAGCAAGUCCUCAUACCCCAGGUUUUGAAAGAGGAAAGGAAGAUGCUUCUCAAAAUAAAGAUGAAUCUUCACUUUCUAUGUCAAAGAGCAAGGUACAAAAGAAAAAUUACCGAGAAGAAAAGAAAAGAGCCACAAAGGAGUUACUCAGCACAAUCACAGAUCCUUCUGUCAUUGUUAUGGCUGACUGGUUGAAGAUUCGUGGUACCCUAAAGAGCUGGACCAAAUUGUGGUGUGUGUUGAAACCCGGUGUGCUGCUGAUCUAUAAAACCCAGAAAAACGGUCAGUGGGUAGGAACAGUCCUUCUGAAUGCCUGUGAGAUCAUUGAACGUCCAUCAAAAAAGGAUGGCUUCUGUUUUAAACUUUUCCAUCCUCUGGAGCAGUCUAUUUGGGCAGUGAAGGGUCCAAAAGGUGAAGCAGUUGGAUCAAUAACUCAGCCCUUACCUAGCAGUUAUUUGAUCAUCCGAGCCACUUCAGAGUCAGAUGGAAGGUGCUGGAUGGAUGCUUUGGAGUUGGCUUUGAAAUGUUCUAGUCUUCUUAAACGUACAAUGAUCAGGGAAGGGAAAGAACAUGACCUGAGCAUCUCAUCAGAGAGCACACAUGUGACCCUGUAUGGCUUAUUACGUGCUAACAAUCUCCACAGUGAAAACGAUCAAGAGCAUGAUGAGUCCGACAACGAGGUGAUGGGGAAGAGUGAGGAAAGCGACACAGACACGUCAGAACGGCAGGACGACUCAUACAUCGAGCCUGAGCCUGUCGAGCCUUUAAAGGAGGCCACCUACACUGAGGAGAGCCAUGAAGAGCUCGGAGAGGCAGGGGAGGCAUCUCAAACAGAAACUGUAUCUGAAGAAAAUAAAAGCCUUAUCUGGACUUUGCUGAAACAAGUUCGUCCUGGCAUGGAUCUAUCCAGGGUGGUCCUGCCUACAUUUAUUUUGGAACCCCGUUCUUUCCUGGAUAAACUUUCAGAUUACUACUAUCAUGCAGAUUUCCUGUCUGAGGCUGCUCUUGAAGAAAAUCCUUAUUUCCGUUUGAAGAAAGUAGUGAAAUGGUAUUUGUCAGGAUUCUAUAAAAAGCCAAAGGGACUGAAGAAACCUUAUAAUCCUAUACUUGGUGAGACUUUCCGUUGUUUGUGGAUUCAUCCCAGAACAAACAGCAAAACUUUUUAUAUUGCUGAACAGGUAUUAGAAAUGCUUCCAGCUUUGCAAUCUUCUGAAGCAAUUUUUAUUUCAGGAAACUCNNNNNNNNNNNNNNNAGGAGAAGCACGGUUAACUUUCUUAAAUAGAGGUGAAGAUUAUGUAAUGACAAUGCCAUACGCUCACUGUAAAGGAAUUCUUUAUGGCACAAUGACGCUGGAGCUUGGUGGAACAGUCAAUAUUACAUGUCAAAAAACUGGAUACAGUGCAAUACUUGAAUUCAAACUAAAGCCAUUUCUAGGUAGUAGUGACUGUGUUAAUCAAAUAUCAGGCAAACUAAAAUUGGGAAAAGAAGUACUAGCUACUUUGGAAGGACAUUGGGAUAGUGAAGUUUUUAUUACUGACAAAAAGACUGAUAAUUCAGAGGUCUUCUGGAAUCCAACACCAGACAUCAAGCAGUGGCGAUUAAUAAGGCACACUGUAAAAUUUGAAGAGCAGGGGGAUUUUGAAUCAGAGAAACUCUGGCAGCGGGUAACUCGAGCCAUAAAUGCCAAAGACCAAACAGAAGUUAGUGUCCCAAAAAUGAAGCAUAAACCAACCAGGCAACAGAAGAAAGUGGCAAAAGGCUAUUCCUCCCCAGAACCUGAUAUCCAGGACUCGUCUGGAAGUGAAGGUAAAAAUAUUUAUUGCGGACUAAACAUUAUGGCUCUUCGAAAUCAUUUAAUUUCAAGCACACCUGCCACGGAUUAUUUUCUUCAACAAAAAGACUACAUCAUCAUUUUUCUUCUGAUUUUGCUUCAAGUCGUAAUAAACUUCAUGUUUAAGUAG
ensembl:lncRNA